AGCGAACGCUGGCGGCAGGCUUAACACAUGCAAGUCGAGCGCCCCGCAAGGGGAGCGGCAGACGGGUGAGUAACACGUGGGAACGUGCCUUUUGGUUCGGAACAACUGAGGGAAACUUCAGCUAAUACCGGAUAAGCCCUUACGGGGAAAGAUUUAUCGCCAAAAGAUCGGCCCGCGUCUGAUUAGCUAGUUGGUGAGGUAAUGGCUCACCAAGGCUACGAUCAGUAGCUGUUCGAGAGGAUGAUCAGCCACAUUGGGACUGAGACACGGCCCAAACUCCUACGGGAGGCAGCAGUGGGGAAUAUUGGACAACGGGGG
rnacentral:rRNA from 1 species